rnacentral:rRNA from 1 species
GACGAACGCUGGCGGCGUGCCUAAUACAUGCAAGUCGAGCGAUCAGGCGAGGUGCUUGUUCCUCGGAGGUUAGCAGCGGACGGGUGAGUAACACGUGGAGAAUCUACCUAUAAGACUGGGAUAACAUCGGGAAACCAGUGCUAAUACCGCAUAAUAUAUUGAACCUCAUGGUUCAAGAGUGAAAGACGGUUUUGCUUUCACUUAUGGAUGUAUCCGCGCCUCAUUAGCUAGUUGGUAAGGUAAAGGCUUACCAAGGCAAGGAUGAAGAGCCGGCCUGAGAGGGUGGGUGGGCCACACGGGAAGGAGACACCGGCCCAGACUCCUCCGGGGGGAGGCAGAAGGGAAGCUUCGGCAAUGAGGGAAGGCAGACCGGAGCAACGACGCGGGGGGAAGGAGGGUCUCCGGAUGGUAAAACUCGGUUAUUAGGAAAGAAGAAAGGUGGAAGUGACUAUGCAUGGCUUGACGGUACCUAAUCAGAAAGCGACGGCUAACUACGUG